UGGGGAAUCUUGGACAAUGGGCGAAAGCCUGAUCCAGCCAUGCCGCGUGGAUGAUGAAGGCCCUAGGGUUGUAAAAUCCUUUCGUUGGGGACGAUAAUGACGGUACCCAAAGAAGAAGCUCCGGCUAACUUCGUGCCAGCAGCCGCGGUAAUACGAAGGGGGCUAGCGUUGUUCGGAUUUACUGGGCGUAAAGCGCAUGUAGGCGGGUCGUUAAGUUGGGGGUGAAAUCCCGAGGCUCAACCUCGGAACUGCCUUCAAAACUGGCGACCUGGAGCAAGAUAGAGGCAAGUGGAAUUGCGAGUGUAGAGGUGAAAUUCGUAGAUAUUCGCAGGAACACCAGUGGCGAAGGCGACUUGCUGGAUCUUUGCUGACGCUGAGAUGCGAAAGCGUGGGGAGCAAACAGG
rnacentral:rRNA from 1 species